UUGUGUGAAAUGUUUGUGCGUGAUUGUAGUCUCUGUUCUGAUCAUUUAUUCAGUUCUGUUGAGUUCUACUCGGUCCUGAGCUCAUGCUCCACUUUUAGUCUUGCUGCUGACGCUCCUGUGUGACGCCCUCACAAGGCAUCAGUCAGCUGCUUCACCUCACAUCAAAAGCCCAUAGUAAUAACACCGGAAAUUGGAGGAUUUCUUAUCAAAAUAAACGUAUGACCUGACGCUCGGUACUAAAGAAGCUAUUAUUAAUAAGAAAAUCAAUGAUAACUUUAACCCGGUGUAUUCAGGUGUUAGAGCCUUUCUCCAAUAAAUAUAUCUGUUGCCGUGGCCUCAUUCCCUCAUUGAGUUUUGCUAUUAUCGAUUUAAAUAGAUAACUAUUUAAUUUUAAAGGUUCGGUCCGGAAGCGAUGCCUCCGAUCGAGGUGGACUUCUCGCCAACCAGCAAUGACCGAUUUGGUUCCUGACAAGAACACGCAGGUUUGCCACAUAAACAAGAUAAUUCAUUACUCCAGAAACAGCAGGACGGAUGUUCAUCAUCGGCCUCAUCAUCGCUGUAGCAUCUGACACUUGUCGUGCAGCAGGGGCCAAUAAGCAGCGGAUGCGGUGGGCGUCCAGCUGCAGGCGGCCCUCUCAAUGGUUUCUCCCACCAUGAAGGCGCUGGUGGAUGCCGUAUGGGCGGUGUGGAGCAUCGGGGUCUCCAUCUAUGACUACAUCCACACCAGUGCGAUGGAGGAGCGCAUCCACGCCUUGGAGAACGUCAUCACCAUCCACCAGUUUGUGAUUGGGCUGUUGUCUGCUGGCGUGUUGGUACUCUUCACCUACAUCUUCUUUAAAAAGCUCUGAAGAUGUGUGAUGUGGAGGGCUGGGGUUGGCAUGUGGGAGGUGAUGUAACCAGAAUUUUGGGUACAUUAGAAAUGCUCACAGGAGUCAUGGUUCUCGGUUUUGGUGUUCAUGGAAGGUACGUUAGUAUAGUUUCAGGUUUUUCUUUGUGUUUUUUGGAGGGGGAACACAUACAAGCAUAUAUUGUAUUUAUUCCUAAAAUAAGAAAAGUGGUAGAAAUGUGGAAAACACUAAAGAUCAUCAAGAUAUUAAGUUCAUUUUUAACUGUUUUAAAAUGUGGUCCAACUUUUUUUCCUAAACAUGUUUGGAGGUUAAAACGCGCUGAAGUACACACCUUCUAAUAAGCGUCCAACUAUUUUUAAAAGGCUACAAUAGAUUGAAGUUGAAAUUCGUCUGCUGAUAUUCAUAAAAUGUUAACUUUUUUUUCUUUUAAUAGCUAAAAUACUGAAAUUGUAACAGUUUCCACAAAUUUAAGGGUUAUAAAUCCUUAAAGACCAUCAUGAGCUGAUAUGGCUCCCCUUGCACUCUAUUGCAGAUUUUGCAGACUGAAGCUGCAGAGUAAAAUGUACCCCUCACUGCAUUAAUAUUUCUCAGGUUAGCUUCCCCCCACCCCACCCAAAUUUUAGAAACAGGAAACUCAAGUAGCUCAACUCCACUUACAGAGAAAUUUGCAGCUCUGCUUGUUUUUGUAGUGGGAUCAUUAAACAUACCACUUUCUGCCUUAAUUAAUAUUUUCAUUCAAUGAAAAUUCAGUUCAGGACAGAGAUGAUGUAGUUUUGUCUCAAAGAUCUUCUACAGAGGACUGUCAUUAAUUUAUCUCAAGCUCCCCCCAAAACUGCCACAUGGACCUCAUGUUAACAACCUGUAGGGUGUUAAGAGUAAACACCCGCACGCUCUCUGUAUUUAUCAUUUUCAGUUAAACAUGCUUUUGUCUAGUGAUACAAUUUGAUACUGUAGGUCUACAUGUGUAUUUUCUACUAGAUUUUAAUGUGUAACAUGAUCUAUUUAUAAGCUUUUUCCAUUAAUAUUGUUAUACCUCAUAACUUUCCUACAUUGCUGUAUAAACUGUAACAAUUUAAAGUGUCCUUACACACUGUAAAUAUAUUUUGAUGUUGGCAGGUGUGGGUUUUUUCCCUUUUAGUUGGCCUUGAACUCAACAUACAUGUGCUAUUCCCUCACAGAGUACUGCUGCUGCUGCUUCGUAUUUAUGGUUUGUGACCUUUAAAGGCAACAUUUUGUACCAUAAAAGGUGAGAAUUAAGUGAUACUUGAUACUGACAGCAAACAAUGUGUGAUGUAAAGUAUGCUUCAGAGGAUAAAAGGAUGUUUUUAUCAAAAUAACCGCUCCAAUCUAUAAGCGUUGGAACAGUGAGAGCUACCGUUACAUGACUGCUUCGUUAAGAAAAAAGUGGUUGUGUAAUUUUACUGCGUCAGACAGACCAUAACCCGAGAAAACACACAAGAAUGAAAGACUGUUUUAAUAUCAUCUUCAUAACAGCAUUAAAAUUUAUCUUCUCAAAAUGA